rnacentral:ncRNA from 2 species
GUUAUGAUUCCGGCCGUUGGUGCUCGCGCCCACCCUCCGGUGGAUGCAGUUCAACGGGAAUCAGGGAGGGGCCACAGGCCCCCAACCUGAGCUGCCCCCGCAACGGUAAGCGGACGGGGCCUCACCGGCCCCAGCUCGUGUCGAAGCCACUGGGAGUCGUCUCCUGGGAAGGACACACGGGUCGUCUCCGUCAGCCCGGAUACCGGCCAACGAGGUGGCGCGCCG